rnacentral:rRNA from 1 species
GUGGGGAAUAUUGGACAAUGGGCGAAAGCCUGAUCCAGCAAUGCCGCGUGAGUGAUGAAGGCCUUAGGGUUGUAAAGCUCUUUUACCCGGGAUGAUAAUGACAGUACCGGGAGAAUAAGCUCCGGCUAACUCCGUGCCAGCAGCCGCGGUAAUACGGAGGGAGCUAGCGUUGUUCGGAAUUACUGGGCGUAAAGCGCACGUAGGCGGCUUUGUAAGUUAGAGGUGAAAGCCUGGAGCUUAACUCCAGAACUGCCUUUAGGACUGCAUCGCUUGAAUCCAGGAGAGGUGAGUGGAAUUCCGAGUGUAGAGGUGAAAUUCGUAGAUAUUCGGAAGAACACCAGUGGCGAAGGCGGCUCACUGGACUGGUAUUGACGCUGAGGUGCGAAAGCGUGGGGAGCAAACAGGAUUAGAAACCCCAGUAGUCC